rnacentral:rRNA from 1 species
AUUGAACGCUGGCGGCAGGCCUAACACAUGCAAGUCGAACGAGUGGCGGACGGGUGAGUAAUGUCUGGGAAACUGCCCGUUGGAGGGGGAUAACUACUGGACACGGUAGAUAAUACCGUAAACAAUCGGAUGGGCCCAGAUGGGAUUAGCGAGUAGGUGGGGUAACGGCUCCCCUAGGCGACGAUCCCUAGCUGGUCUGAGAGGAUGACCAGCCACACUGGAACUGAGACACGGUCCAGACUCCUACGGGAGGCAGCAGUGGGGAAUAUUGCACAAUGGGCGCAAGCCUGUUGCAGCCAUGCCGCUUGUAUGAAGAAGGCCUUCGGGUUGUAAAGUACUUUCAGCGAGGAGGCGUUACUCGCAGAAGAAGCACCGGCUAACUCCGUGCCAGCAGCCGCGGUAAUAC